rnacentral:rRNA from 1 species
UACAGGGGGGGCAAGCGUUGUUCGGAAUUACUGGGCGUAAAGGGCGCGUAGGCGGCCUGCUAAGUAGAGGGUGAAAUCCUGCGGCUCAACCGCAGGGCUGCCUUCUAAACUGUCAGGCUGGAGCACGGUAGAGGCAGAUGGAAUUCCCGGUGUAGCGGUGGAAUGCGUAGAGAUCGGGAAGAACACCAGUGGCGAAGGCGGUCUGCUGGGCCGUUGCUGACGCUGAGGCGCGACAGCGUGGGGAGCAAACAGG